GCGGAUCAGAGUUCGCAUAGAAAUAUGCUAUAAGGGUUACAGGAGUUUGGCGAAAGCGCUGAGCAAGAGCUUUUGUAUCGAUCAGAAGUUUGAGAGGAUAGACAAGUUGUGUAAAAGGCAUUGUAAUCCAAUUCUUUUUUACAUCUUUUGUGCUGCUGAAUUAGAUCCUACAACACGCGUGUAACCGGGUUUGUUUAAAGUUCUGCGGCGGGGUGGAGCCUUGAACGAUUCGAUUGAUAAGCAAAACUUACCUGCAGUAGUAAAGAAAGGCAAUUAAUAUAAAAACUUACAACUCUAGAAUAAAAAGGUGAUAACCUUGAAUUAUUAAAUUCGCACGAACAAUAAAAUAUUGAAACUCAAACGAGGAUAGACGGAAUCGUGGGAUAGUUUAUGGUUGCGGUAUUAUCGAAAGAUGUCUUUCUGAUCAUCAUCAGUGCCGAUACAUACAUACAUCACACGUGUCGAAAAAUCGAGUAAUAGUGAGUGGUCUUUAACAAAUAGCAAAAGAGCAUUAAAUAAUAACUCCCAAGAAUAUAGGGCGAAAGCGAUUUGUAAGAGAGAACAUCCGUAGAAAUAUCGUUUUGUUCAGUUAGCUAUAAACGACACAUUACUAAAUCGAAUGGUUGAGAUACAGAAAAUGGAUGUUUUUUACAUUAAGCAUCUCAAUUAGGUGACGGAUUACGCGAAAAUACAUUCCUAAGACUUCUACUUUAAAAGAGAAAUAAUUGAAUAUUCAUUCUAUGGUAUAAACAAUCAACUAGCGAAACGUGCAUUACUUGGCCAAGCAAUGCAAUGCAUGGGCGUAAACAAAAAAAGCCAGUUGGUGAUUCAACUCAAAAUUGUGCAAUCAUUUGCACUGUUUCAAUAGAUACUAUUCGCAAAGUCUUACUUGCGGAAAACAGUCUUGAAGAAAGUCUCACCUUGAAUUCGUGCAAUUUCUAGUUCAUCAUCGGAUACAUUACGAGAACCGUCGGCUCCAGCAUAGGAACCAGCGCCCCAGCUGGAGCCGCCAUGAAUGGACUCAACGUUAGCCAUGAGUGAAAAUGUAUUCUUAUAGCCAAGAGGUACAAAAAUCAUUCCAUGAUGAACAAAGCUGGUCAUGGCAGUAAGAGCAGUGCUUUCUUGACCACCGCCCAAGGUACCGGUGGAAAAGAACUGACCAAAGUACUUUCCAUGCAAAGCACCUUGCACCCAUAAACCACCAGUGGAGUCCCAAAAAGUACGGAACUGAGCAGGAGGAGUGCCGUAGCGUGUAGGAUAACCGAAGAGGAAGGCAUCAUACUGCGUUAAGACAUCGAGUGUAACAACAGGGUAAUUGGGUUUGGGUGCAGCAUGCAUCUUCUCCAAGAUUUCAGGACUCAAUGUCUCGGGGAACUGAUAAAUGACAGCUUUUCCACCAGCUUUCUCAAUGCCAGCCUUUUCGGCCUCAGCCAGUUUGACGACAUGGCCAUAAGUGGAAUAAAUCACAAUAGCGACGGUGUUUGCGGUAGACAUACUGGGUUUAAUAAAACGCUGGAGUAAUAAAAUAACGAAAUCGAAGCACGACAGUGAAGAAUGAAGCUGUGAUUGAAUUUCUUUGGAACGUUUAAAAAUAUAGGGAAUUUUACGUCCUUAUAUAGAUUUUUUGAAAGCCUCCGAUGUGUUUUUUUUUAUUUCCUGUUUUUUUGGGACCAGCGGUUGAUUACCAAGAUUACGUAAACUACCUUUGGUUCAUCCUAGGAUUGUGAAAAUUGAACCAUUUCUGACUAAUCCUAUUCAAACAAUGAUUCUAUUAUUAUUUUAUUUCUUUCUCUCUCAUUCAUGCUCACUUUAGAUCAAACAAACCGAUUUUGUGCUUGAAAUACUUUCAUUCCACAGGUGUUGGCAUUUGUUAUUACCUGUCCCAUUUUCUGUAAACUGAGGUUACAUACUUUGGCUCGCUUGAUGAGUUUUUGGUGUUGACCUUUUGUAUCGCUAUUUUCAUCUUUGCUUUAUCGAUGUAGCUGCGCCACUGUUGGCCUAAGUGGGGGACUUUGGGUUUCUCUAUAGCUUUCCUACUAACUUAGUACUGGGAAAAUAACAUGGUUACGGUCACCUCUAAUUUAACACAACCCAAUGGAAAACAUCGGUAAAUCGAUAAAACGUACGCUAUUUUAAGUGCAAAAUGCAUUGAUGGUCAGCCAGUCCAUCAUCAUCCUUGGAAAGUUUUUGUGUAUGCAAGGAAUUGGUCAGCACUGAAAACAAAAGAAAACGGUUAUAGAAUGAAGUGUUAAACCUCUUCCCUUUCUCAUCAUAGUAUCAAUUUUAAAUCAAUCAAUUUCAUAUAUUCAUAUGUAAAACAUCAU
rnacentral:lncRNA from 1 species